rnacentral:rRNA from 1 species
UCUUUUUUUGGGGCGGCGCCGCCCGGACGCGGCAAUUCCAGCUCCAAUAGCGUAUAUUAAAGUUGUGUUUGGUUAGCAGGUUAAAAGCUCGUAGUUGAACCUUGGGUCUGGCUGGCCGGUCCGCCUCACCGCGAGUACUGGUCCGGCUGGACCUUUCCUUCUGGGGAACCUCAUGGCCUUCACUGGCUGUGGGGGGAACCAGGACUUUUACUGUGAAAAAAUUAGAGUGUUCAAAGCAGGCCUUUGCUCGAAUACAUUAGCAUGGAAUAAUAGAAUAGGACGUGCGGUUCUAUUUUGUUGGUUUCUAGGACCGCCGUAAUGAUUAAUAGGGAUAGUCGGGGGCGUCAGUAUUCAGCUGUCAGAGGUGAAAUUCUUGGAUUUGCUGAAGACUAACUACUGCGAAAGCAUUCGCCAAGGAUGUUUUCAUUAAUCAGGGAACGAAAAGUUAGCCCUACGAAGACGAUCAGAUACCGUCGUAGUCUUAACCAUAAACUAUGCCGACUAGGGAUCGGGCGGGUGUUUCUAUGAUGACCCGCUCGGCCACCCUUACGAGAAAAUCAAAAGUUUUUUGGGGUUCUGGGGGGGAGUAUGGUCCCCAAGGCUGAAAACUUAAAAGAAAAUUGACGGAAGGGGCACCACAAGGCGUGGAGCCUGCGGCUUAAUUUUGACUCAACACGGGGGAAACUCACCAGGUCCAGACAAAAUAAGGAUUGACAGAUAGAGAGCUCUUUCUUGAUCUUUUGGAUGGUGGUGCAUGGCCGUUCUUAGUUGGUGGAGUGAUUUGUCUGCUGAAUUGCGAUAACGAACGAGACCUCGGCCCUUAAAUAGCCCGGUCCGCGUUUGCGGGCCGCUGGCUUCUUAAGGGGACUAUCGGCUCAAGCCCAUGGAAGGUGCGCGGCCAUCACCGUCGUGUGGGGCUUCGAAAAAAAAAAAAAAAA